AUGCAGUGUUAUCCGGAAUCACUGGGCGUAAAGCGUCUGUAGGUGGUUUAGUAAGUCUAUUGUUAAAUCUUGAGGCUCAACUUCAAAUCAGCGAUGGAAACUGCUAGACUAGAGUGUGGUAGAGGUAAGAGGAAUUUCCAGUGGAGCGGUGAAAUGCGUAGAUAUUGGAAAGAACACCGAUGGCGAAGGCAUCUUACUGGGCCAUAACUGACACUCAGAGACGAAAGCUAGGGUAGCAAAUGGGAUUAGAUACCCCAGUAGUCCUAGCAGUAAACGAUGGAUACUAGAUGUUGCCCGUAUCAACCCGUGCAGUGUCAAAGCUAACGCGUUAAGUAUCCCGCCUGGGAAGUAUGCACGCAAGUGUGAAACUCAAAGGAAUUGACGGGGGCCCGCACAAGCGGUGGAGCAUGUGGUUUAAUUUGAUGCAACGCGAAGAACCUUACCAGGGUUUGACAUGACAUGGAUUUUUCUGAGAAGAAAAAGUGCCUUUUAGGAACAUGUACACAGGUGGUGCAUGGCUGUCGUCAGCUCGUGUCGUGAGAUGUUGGGUUAAGUCCCGCAACGAGCGCAACCCUUGUUUUUAGUUAUUUUUCUAGAAAGACUGCCGGUUAUAAGCCGGAGGAAGGCGGGGACGACGUCAAGUCAGCAUGCCCCUUAUACCCUGGGCUACACACGUGCUACAUUGGGUAAGACAAUGAGUCGCGAGCCUGUGAAGGUCAGCAAAUCUAUAAACUUACUCUAAGUUCGGAUUGUAGGCUGCAACUCG
rnacentral:rRNA from 1 species